GAAUUAUACUUAGCAGCAAUAAUCUCAUGAUAUUAAGAAAAUGUUUAGUUUUCUUGCAAGAAUGGACUGGAAGAAGAGUACGAAUGUCAGUUUUAUUGUUUUUCAACAAGCGAUGUAGUCUUAUUAAUUACAAAGUCUAUCAGGAUAGAACUUAUGAAGAGCAUUUCGAACAAGUGACCAAUAUCCUGAAACGGGAGGAAAUUGAAAUCGCCGAGAUAACAUUUCUUGCAUCAUAAAUGAAUCGCUCGUACAGCACCAGUCCCAACUCAGGGUGAGCGUGUGCAAUGCAUUUUGUAAAAUUAAAAAAAAAAUUUUUUUUGCAUUUGGUUGCUACUCUUUCCUUAUCAUACUUUCUCUUG